GAUGAACGCUAGCGGCAGGCCUAAUACAUGCAAGUCGAGGGGGCAGCAAUGUCACCGGCGGACGGGUGCGUAACACGUUUGGAAUCUGCCUUGUACAGGGGGAUAGCCCGCCGAAAGGCGGAUUAAUACCGCAUAUGCUCGUGGUCUGGCAUCAGGCAGCGAGGAAAGGAGCAAUCCGGUACGAGAUGACCAUGCGGCUGAUUAGCUAGUUGGCGGGGAUGGCCCACCAAGGCGACGAUCAGUAGGGGACCUGAGAGGGCGAUCCCCCACACGGGCACUGAGAUACGGGCCC
rnacentral:rRNA from 1 species